rnacentral:rRNA from 1 species
GGAAUUCUGGGCGUAAAGAGCUCGUAGGCGGUUUGUCGCGUCGUCUGUGAAAACCCGCAGCUCAACUGCGGGCUUGCAGGCGAUACGGGCAGACUUUAGUACUGCAGGGGGAGACUGGAAUUCCUGGUGUAGCGGUGAAUGCGCAGAUAUCAGGAGGAACACCGGUGGCGAAGGCGGGUCUCUGGGCAGUAACUGACGCUGAGGAGCGAAAGCGUGGGUAGCGAACAGGAUUAGAUACCCUGGUAGUCCACGCCGUAAACGGUGGGCGCUAGGUGUGGGUUUCCUUCCACGGGAUCCGUGCCGUAGCUAACGCAUUAAGCGCCCCGCCUGGAGAGUACGGCCGCAAGGCUAAAACUCAAAGGAAUUGACGGGGGCCCGCACAAGCGGCGGACAUGUGGAUUAAUUCUAUGCACGCGAAGAACCUUACCUGGGUUUGACAUACACCGGACCGCCCCAGAGAUGGGGUUUCCCUUGUGGUCGGUGUACAGGUGGUGCAUGGCUGUCGUCAACUCGUGUCGUGAGAUGUUGGGUUAAGUCCCGCAACGAGCGCAACCUUUGUCUUGUGUUGCCCCAAGUAAAGUUGGGGACUCCCAGGAAACUGCCGGGGUCACCUCGAAGAAGGGGGGACACUUCAUCUUCUUGCCCCUUAUGUCGGGCUUCCCAUGCUACAUGGCCGGUAAAAAGGGUGCAUCCCCGAGGGGGAGAAUCCUUUAGCGUUUCUCGGACGGGUCCGCCCCCCCUGAAGCGAAUCCUAAUCCAACACACCUCGUAAUCCUUCCGACUAAA